GUUUUUACAAUUACACGAC
rnacentral:sRNA from 1 species